rnacentral:sRNA from 1 species
AUAUCUCUCCGUACGGGAAGGAUGAGAAGCUUCGACUAAGGUUCGAUUCGAGCGUCAGCGAGAAAGCGUUGCCGCAGGCAACGACCCGAAGGGCGAAGCGCGCAGCGCUG